AUACGGAGGGUGCAAGCGUUAUCCGGAAUCAUUGGGUUUAAAGGGUCCGUAGGCGGGCGAUUAAGUCAGAGGUGAAAUCCCACAGCUCAACUGUGGAACUGCCUUUGAUACUGGUUGUCUUGAAUUUUCGUGAAGUAGAUAGAAUAUGUAGUGUAGCGGUGAAAUGCAUAGAUAUUACAUAGAAUACCGAUUGCGAAGGCAGUCUACUAACUAACAAUUGACGCUAAUGGACGAAAGCGUGGGGAGCGAACAGUAUUAGAAACCCCGGUAGUCC
rnacentral:rRNA from 1 species